AACCGUGAUUCCGGGAGUAGUGGCGAGCGAAACUGGAUGAGGCUAAACCGUAUGUGUGUGAUACCCGGCAGGGGUUGCGCGUACGGGGUUGUGGGAGUGCUCUUGAUCGGUCUGCCGGCCGGUCGGUGAGUCAGAAAUUGUUGAUGUAGGCGAAGGGCAUGCGAAAGGCCCGGCGUAGAGGGUAAGACCCCCGUAGCUGAAAUGUCAGCAACUUGCUUGAGUAUUUCCCAAGUAGCACGGGGCCCGAGAAAUCCCGUGUGAAUCUGGCGGGACCACCCGCUAAGCCUAAAUAUUCCCUGGUGACCGAUAGCGGAUAGUACC
rnacentral:rRNA from 1 species